UCAUCGUUUGAUUUCUUCACUUUCUUCUUCUUCCUUUCUUUCAUCGUCUAUUCCCAUUUCACACAACAUCCGAAAUGGAAGAAAGUUCUGAAGGAACAGAGACCAGCAAAAUCCGUAACAUAUGCAUCCUUGCCCACGUGGACCACGGCAAGACCACCCUCGCCGACCACCUCAUCGCUGCUGCAGGUGGCGCCCUCCUCCAUCCAAAACUCGCCGGAAGAGUCCGCUUCAUGGACUACCUCGACGAGGAGCAGCGCCGCGCCAUCACCAUGAAGUCCUCCUCCAUCUGCCUCCGUUACGGCGACCACUCCAUCAACCUCAUCGUGGACUUCUGCAGCGAGGUUUCCACCGCCGCCCGCCUCAGCGACGGCGCACUCCUCCUCGUCGACGCUGUCGAAGGCGUCCACAUCCAAACCCACGCCGUCCUCCGCCAGUGCUGGAUCGAGCGCCUCUCCCCUUGCCUCGUCCUCAACAAGAUCGACCGCCUCAUCACGGAGCUUAAACUCACGCCGUCCGAGGCCUACGUCCGCUUAUUGCGCAUCGUUCAAGAAGUUAACGGCAUCGUUAGCGCAUUCCGUUCCGAGAAGUACCUAUCUGACGUGGAUUCCCUUCUUGCCACGUCAGGUAUGAACCCUAACGAGAUUGAGAAUGAGGAAGCAGAUGAUGAAGCUGACGAGUUUCAACCGCAGAAAGGGAAUGUGAUAUUCGCUUGCGCUUUAGACGGUUGGGGAUUUGGAAUCAAUAAAUUCGCUGAGAUUUAUGCUUCCAAGCUUGGUGCUAGUGUAAAUGCGUUGUUGAAGGCUCUAUGGGGACCUUGGCAUUUUAAUCCGAAGACGAAGAUGAUUGCUAAGAAGAAAGUUGGUGGUGGUGGAGACACUGGUAAGGGUAAUGCGAAACCGAUGUUUGUUCAGUUUGUGUUGGAACCACUGUGGCAGGUUUAUGAGGGUGCGCUUAAGGGUGGUGAUGAGGGUAAGGGUGUGGUUGAGAAGGUUGUUAGGUCCUUUAAUUUGUCGGUGCCGGCGAGGGAGCUUCAGAAUAAAGAUCCCAAGGCUGUGCUUCAGGCGGUUAUCAGCAGGUGGCUGCCGCUCGCGGAUGCUGUGUUGUCGAUGGUGGUUAGGUGUAUGCCAGACCCUGCUGCAGCACAGACAUACCGGAUAUCGCGAUUGAUGCCGAAGGUUGAGGUGGAUAGUGAGGUUGGAGUUGAUAGGAGUGUUUUGGAGGAAACAGAGCGUGUGAGGAAGUCUGUGGAGGUUUGUGAUUUGAGGGAGGAUGCUCCUUGUGUUGCUUUUGUGUCCAAGAUGUUUGCGGUGCCGGUUAAAAUGCUUCCUCCCCUGAGAGGGGAGAAUGGGAAUAGUUAUGGCGGCGAAGGAGAAAGCGAGUCGGACGAGUGUUUCUUGGCAUUUGCUAGGAUAUUUAGUGGGGUUUUGCAUGCUGGUCAGAGAGUUUUCAUUCUCUCUGCUUUGUAUGAUCCAUUGAAAAGGGAAUCAAUGCAGAAACAUGUGCAGGAAGCUGAAUUGCAGACCUUGUAUUUGAUGAUGGGCCAGGGAUUGAAAGUAGUGACAUCUGCCAAAGCAGGAAAUGUUGUUGCCAUUCGGGGCCUCGGCCAGCAUAUCCUGAAAUCAGCUACUCUCAGUUCUAGCAUGAAUUGUUGGCCGUUUUCAAGUCUCGCAUUCCAAGUUGCCCCGACGCUGAGAGUUGCAAUUGAGCCGUCUGAUCCAGCGGAUGUGGGUGCACUGCUGAAAGGAUUGAGGCUUUUGAAUCGAGCAGAUCCGUUUGUCGAGGUUACUGUUUCUGCAAGAGGAGAACAUGUGCUCUCUGCAGCCGGGGAGGUUCACCUGGAGAGAUGCAUAAAGGAUUUGAAGGAGAGGUUUGCAAAAGUAAGUUUGGAAGUAUCACCGCCUCUUGUGUCCUACAAAGAGACCAUUGAGGGAGAGGCAUCCAAGAUGCUGGAAAGUUUAAAAGCUUUUACUAAGAGCACAGAUUAUGUUGAGAAAACAACACCAAAUGGUAGAUGUGUUGUCCGUGUGCGUGUGAUAAAACUUUUGCCUUCUCUUACAAAGGUGCUUGAUGAAAGUCCUGAUUUAGUUGGUGAUGUUAUUGGAAUUAAGUCAGCGCAGACGAUAAAAACAUUGGAUUGCCAGAGACCAAAUGUUACUGAGAAUGAUAAUCCGGCUGAGGUUCUAAGAAAACGCAUUGUAGAUGCAGUGGAGAGUGAUGUGCUGAGCUGGAAUGAGAUUGAUAAUGAUCAUGCUGAGAGAUGUAAAUUGGAGUGGCUGAAACUUUUGAGGAGGAUAUGGGCUCUAGGACCUAGACAGAUUGGUCCGAACAUUCUCUUAACUCCUAAUAUUAAAGCAGAGGGUACGGAUAACUCUGUUUUAGUACGGGGUUGUUCUCAUGUGUCUGAUAAGUUGGGCUUUGUGCCUGAUUCUAGUGAUGGAAAUUCAGUUGCGGAGACAUCUUCAAAUGCAAGUCAAGCUUUGUACAAAGAAGCCGAGCGCCUUGAGAGUAGUGUCGUAUCCGGGUUCGAACUGGCCACUGCCGCCGGACCCUUAUGUGAUGAACCUAUGUGGGGUUUGGCAUUUCUUGUUGAGGCGUGGAUAUCUCCGCUUAUUGAACAGAACGAUGAAUCUGAAACACAUCUACAAUCAGAACAGUAUGGGAUCUUUGCAGGGCAGGUAAUUGCCACUGUCAAGGAUGCAUGUAGAGCAGCCGUGCUUCAGAAUAAACCCCGGCUUGUGGAAGCAAUGUACUUCUGUGAAUUGAAUACACCUACUGAAUGUUUGGGUCCAAUGUAUGCUGUACUUAACCGAAGACGGGCCCGAGUUCUGAAAGAAGAGAUGCAGGAAGGUUCCCCUUUCUUCACUGUGCAUGCAUAUGUUCCAGUUUCUGAGAGCUUUGGUUUUGCGGAUGAGCUCCGCAAAGGGACUUCUGGUGCUGCAAGUGCGCUUCUUGUCCUUAGUCACUGGGAAGCACUUCCAGAGGAUCCUUUCUUUGUACCCAGAACGGAAGAGGAAAUUGAAGAGUUUGGAGAUGGUUCUAGUGUUCUGCCAAAUACAGCUAGAAAGUUAAUUAACACAGUCAGACGGCGCAAGGGCCUUCCUGUGGAAGAAAAGGUUGUACAACAUGGAACCAAGCAGAGGACGUUGGCUCGUAAAGUCUAAUAUAUUUCAUUACUGUUGUAUCCAUAUCUGUGAGCUGCAUACCUUCCAUUAAUAGAUAUGGUAGAGGCUGUAUUUCCGCUUCGGAGUGAAUGUUAUGGAAGCUGCUAACUGAAGUUGUUGAAAUCAGUGAUUUCAGCUCUAUUGUGAUAUGGAGAGACUCAUAGAUGAUCAGUUUGAACAGUUGAAAGCGCAUGUUAAUAUUGUGAUAUACUAGCUGCAAGAGGUUCGAUAAAACACAGAGAGAAAGGAGAACUUUCUGUGUUUUCACUUGCAAUCCUCAUAAAAUCGCUGCUUCCACUACCUGACAAAUAUGAUAGCCUAACUGAUAGAGAUAAAUGCUAUCGCCAAAGAUAAGAGUCUCAGGAUGUACACUUUGAGCCUUCAUGCAAGCUUGGAUGGAUUGACAUUUUUCAGGAAAUCAAUAAUAUCACCCGUACUGAAGGAACUUAAAUCUACUGGAGAAGACAAGAAUAUGGAGAGAGCACAGGCAGGAAAAAGAAAUACCUUGUAUUAUAAUAGUUGCUUUGUUAUAUAAACUAAUCCAAGAGAGAUUCAUUUCGAGCGGGAAUGUAAUUGUGAAAUUGGUUUUUCGGAUUCUCGUGUGGUAUCUGUCUUAUUUAUUUAUGAUGGUAGAGGAAGGAUACUAAAUCUGUGAAAAUUGUUUGAUA